rnacentral:tRNA from 1 species
GGGCGCGUAGCUCAGUUGGUUAGAGCAUCCCUCUGAUAAGGGGAAGGUCCGUGGUUCGAGUCCACGCGCGCCCA